UUGCAUCGUCAACUCGCCGAGCUUGUUGAAGGCAGCUCCAGCCGCGGUGAAAAUCUCACCGACCUGCAAGUACAACGAAAAGAUAUCGAUGAAAUGAAAAAAGAACUCGAUCUUUCGUUUUUAUCUUCGACGAGUAUACGAAAGCUCCAUCGUUGUUGUUGGACAGACGGACAGAGAAAAUGAGAGAGAGAGAGAGAGAGAGAGAGAGAGAGAGAGAGAGAGAGAGAGAGAGAGAGAGAGAGAGAGAAAGAGAGUGAGUGUGUGUGAGAGAGAGAGAGAAAAGGAGAGAGCGCGGAAUGCACGUGACUCGGAGAGCGGUAGAAAAAGGAAGACGUAGAACGGUGGGGAGAGAGCGACCGUUAAACACUAUGUGGCGGGAAAGUGCCUAAAAUCAUCGACUAUGAGCGCCUUUUUUUCGCUUACCUUGCUCGCAGAGUUCAUCUCACGAUCAGUUUGUUGUUGCGCGCAUACGCGUCACACUUGGUGGAAAGGAAAAAGCUCGUACGGUAUUGCCAUCUUGCGUCGCUCUCACGAUCCUUUCCGUUAAACAAUUGUAACUUUAAUGCUCUUUUUGCCGGCCUACACCCCGACCAGACCCUGUAACGUACGCUUCGCCUACCUCCUCCUCUUCCUCCUAUUAAAAUAUCCUCUCAUGGUAUCGAUCGUUUCUUCCUUAAUUACGGAGAUUAUUAAGACAUCUUCUUUAAAAAAGUAA